GACGAACGCUGGCGGCGUGCUUAAUACAUGCAAGUCGAACGGAGUGGCGAACGGGUGAGUAACACGUGGGUGACCUGCCCUGCACCUCGGGAUAAGCCUGGGAAACUGGGUCUAAUACCGGAUAGUGUGGGAUGGGCCCGCGGCCUAUCAGCUUGUUGGUGUGGUAAUGGCCUACCAAGGCGGCGACGGGUAGCCGGCCUGAGGGGGUGGACGGCCACAUUGGGACUGAAACAAGGCCCAAAAUCCUACGGGAGGCAGGAGUGGAGAAUAGUGCACAAUGGGCGGAAGACUGAUGCAGGGGCGCCGCGUGGGGGAUGACGGCCUUCGGGUUGUAAACUCCUUUCACCAUCGACGCGGUAGAUGGAGAAGAAGCACCGGCUAACUACAUGCCAGCAGCCGCGGUAAUUC
rnacentral:rRNA from 1 species